rfam:Brassica napus, WGS project CCCW01000000 data, contig: 18636
GUUCCUUUGGGGACAUCCAAUAAAAUUGGAACGAUACAUAGAAGAUUAGCAUGGUCCCUGCGCAAAGAUGACACGCACAAAUCGAGAAAUAGUUCAAAUUUCU